AUUGAACGCUGGCGGCAUGCCUUACACAUGCAAGUCGAACGGUAACAGGUCUUCGGAUGCUGACGAGUGGCGAACGGGUGAGUAAUACAUCGGAACGUGCCCGAGAGUGGGGGAUAACGAGGCGAAAGCCUUGCUAAUACCGCAUACGAUCUCAGGAUGAAGGCAGGGGACCGCAAGGCCUUGCGCUCACGGAGCGGCCGAUGGCAGAUUAGGUAGUUGGUGGGAUAAAAGCUUACCAAGCCGACGAUCUGUAGCUGGACUGAGAGGACGACCAGCCACACUGGGACUGAGACACGGCCCAGACUCCUACGGGAGGCAGCAGUGGGGAAUUUUGGACAAUGGGCGCAAGCCUGAUCCAGCCAUGCCGCGUGCAGGAUGAAGGCCUUCGGGUUGUAAACUGCUUUUGUACGGAACGAAAAGACUCUGGUUAAUACCUGGGGUCCAUGACGGUACCGUAAGAAUAAGCACCGGCUAACUACGUGCCAGCCGCCGCCGUAAGAC
rnacentral:rRNA from 1 species